UACGGGGGGGGCAAGCGUUGUUCGGAAUUACUGGGCGUAAAGGGCUCGUAGGUGGCCAACUAAGUCAGACGUGAAAUCCCUCGGCUUAACCGGGGAACUGCGCAUGAUACUGGAUGGCUUGAGUUUGGGAGAGGGAUGCGGAAUUCCAGGUGUAGCGGUGAAAUGCGUAGAUAUAGGAAGGAACACCAGUGGCGAAGGCGACCACCUGGACUGAUACUGACACUGAGGUGCGAAAGCGUGGGGAGCAAACAGG
rnacentral:rRNA from 1 species